GCUACCAUCUUCUCCUUCAAAUUGUUCCUCAAGACUCAUUUUUACUACAGUACAUACAAAGCAACAGUGACUGACAUCAACUAGGCAAGUGGAACAGUUUUGCAAGGAGACAAAGAAUGGCUGGAAACAGAAUUUGACUCUACAGCAAGCUAAAGAUCAUAAGUGAAAACAAAACUCUGUACACUGAGCUCUUGAGAUGUUAGAAUAAGAAGAAAUAUGGGCCAAUAUUGAGAAAUUUCAGAAAGGGCUGGUUAUGGCCAUGCUAUGAAUUAUUUUCAUAAUUUGCUGAGUUCUUGUGUAAGAGCUUGAAGACCAAAGUUGCAACACUUCUAUUCAAAGCCUUCAUCACAACAUUGGCCAUAUUUUUAAUUGACAAAGGGAAAUGCUGACAAGUUCACGUGAAGAAAUACACCCACUAUAAACAUUACAAAAAUGCAAGAGACUUCCGGGGCAUAGCAUUAGUCACUUUCCAUAUCAGCAGAGAGUUAGUUUACACUGACUGUUGUGACCUGUAUUAAAAGAUACUCUUAAUAAAGGGAAAAAGUUUUUUACUUACCAUACUAAUGGAUAAUUCC